rnacentral:lncRNA from 1 species
CUUCAACAUAUUGUUCACCUCAUUAUCCAGAUCUGUAACUUCUGCAAAAGUUCUUUCAGCUUCUGCCUUGGUGCUGGUGGCAUUCUUUUGGACAGCGCUCGCGAUCCUCUCCGCCUCAUGGGCCUUGUUCUUGGCCUCUGUGGCAUCCGCCGCAGCACUGCCCAGGGCCUGCUGGGCUUCUCUGGUCUUUUCAUUGGCUUCAGUGAUGGUCUGGUUGAUGGCAGGAAUCUUCCUUAGUGCCUCCUCUGCGGCCGUCUUGUUAUCGUUCACACGCCUAUCAAAAUCUUUCAGGUUGUUGAGAAUGUCAUUAGCUUCUUGUAAGGUAUCCCGUCCCUUCUUUGCAGCUUCUUCAGCGAGGGCCUUGGCAGCAUCAGCUCGGGCUAGGAGUUGGUCUGCGGUCUGCUGUUCAGUCUUGCCUUUCUCCAGAAGGUUCUUGACUUCAAGUUCCUUCCCUCUCAUAUCUUCUCUGAGGUCCUCAUAAUCUUUUAAUUUCUGGUCAAUCAGUUGUUCCAGAUUCUCAGCUUCCAUCUUUAUGUUAUUUGCUUCAUUCUCCAGUGUCUCAGAGUCCAAAGGGCUCAGCUGAGCCACGCUGGCAUAGAUCUCCACAGCUUUGUCACCGGCCCUUUUGGCCUCCUCAUGUACUCGGGCAGCUUGUUUUUCCAGAUCCUGUG